ensembl:lncRNA
UAGAUAGUAAAACAUUAUUUAUUCCUUUUAUAAAUCAUUUUGCUGGCUGAAGUAAGUUUUUACUUUAUAAAGUAAAUCCAAUUACUUACCUAAGGGGACAUCCCAGAUUGGAUUUUCCUCUUCUGAUGAAUCAAGGCUUUCAUCACGUGCACAAUCUUCUAAAUCCAUGUUUAUUUGCACGUUUGAGUUGUCUGGGGUUGUAGCAUGUUUGGUCCAAGCUCCAUCACGAAAAAACAUUUGUCACGUCUGUAAGUUACACAACAUCGUUUGAAAACUUUUGUUUCCAGCCAAUGUAACGUUAUGUGUGCAUGUAUUAAAGCGUUUUUCAUUCAAUGUUACAGGAAGCUGUAAGGCGCCUUCACAAUUCGGAAAACAACCCACAUAAAUAUGAUCCACAAACUGGGUAAGACUGCUGUUUUUCUGCUAUGUUUAUUUGGCCUUUGUGGGCCAUGCUGUUUAUGGGGUUUUACAUAUUCCUUUUAAAUGUAUUUAAUGACACACUUCUCUCUUUCCACACAGAAUAAGUUUGCCUCGUAACCAAGCAGUCAUGACUUAUCUGCUAGAGGAAUUGAAAACAACUUUUGCAGAUGCAGACCCUGAGUGUAUACAAGGUAAUUUUAAAAUGUUUAACAAUUUUAAUGUCCAUAAUUUUAGUCUCUUAUAUUUUGUCCAUCUUAUGAUUUCAAUAGUGUAGUUUCUGUCACUUAUCUGAAUUUUCUUUUAUUCAGCGUGUUGCAAGACAUACUUUGAAACACUUCGGAGAAAGUACAAUUUGUCUCAGCCAGAAAAGUCCCAGCUAAGAGAUGCCAUUAAAACAGGAGCUAAAAACCGACAAAGGAAAAGACGGUUGCUGGAUUCCAGGUCCAAGGUUGUUCAAACCGAUGCAGAGAGAGAGCUUUGGCAGACUGCAACAGUGGAGCUGAUGUCUGACGAGGAGGAUGCCAUUGUUGAUGGAAGGCCAGUGUGGAUUGUGAGGUCUCCAUCUCACAGGAACCCACAAUUGUCAGAACUUUGUGAGGAGCUUCAGCGCAGAUUGGAGGCAGACAUGCGCUACACUAUUUUGCAUCAUCAGCGUGUUAAGGCUGAUGGAAAUGGACAUGAUGGACCUUCCUUUCUUCAACUUUAACUAAACUGCACUGGUUUUUGCAAUUUUUAAUA